rnacentral:lncRNA from 1 species
GGUUGCGAGCCAAUUAGAUCGGCAGCUGGCUGUUCUACGGUUAAACAUAUUGACAGAUGUAUAGAAAAAGUUUAAUAACAAAUUUCAGUUCAAAAGGAAAAAAUAUAGGAGAUAUAUAUUUUCAGUUUUUCCUCUUCCCUUAGUUUUUGAGAAAAAUAUAUGACUCGUAGACAUAUGUGCAUUCUGUGUGUUACUUUUUAUUUUAAUAAGAAAACAUGAACCUUGUUUCUAAGGAGAGUAAUUCUGAUCUUACUUUUAUGAUGGAUGGCGGCCUGGUAAAGCAUUUGUUUAUCUUAUUUGAAAAUUAGUCUCACAUUUCUAGUUUUUCAGGAUGGAUAUGGGCCAAGCCCAUUGAAUAUACUAAUUGACUCCAUUAUGAAUAUUAGGCAGCCCAUGAUAAAUUCUAAAAAUGACUUAUAAUGUCAAAUAUAUCCUCAUGUGUUUGGCAAUGUAAUUCAAAUAAGCCAACUUUGCUGGUGUAUGCAGGGAAGGAUCCAAUUGAACUCUCCUUUGCAUAUGCUAUUGAUGAACAUUAACACUAUAUCAGAAAAUUUUUUUCUAAAUAGUACUAAUGCAAAAUAUUAUUUUACAAAAUUUCUUUAUAGAAAUGGAGUUCUGUUUUGUUUUAAUUCCAAAAAUGAAAAAGAUGUAAAAUUUUAUGUGCAAUUAUGGCAUAAGUUGUGUGUCAUUAUACAAAGAAAUGCAGUACUAUAACAGUUUGCUAAAGAUGUUCCUGAAGAUGGACAAAGCCU